GUUGUCAUGGCCGAGUGGUUAAGGCAUUGGACUAGAAAUCAAUUGCUGUUUCCCUGUGCAGGUUCAAAUCCUGCUGAUAACG
rnacentral:tRNA from 1 species